rnacentral:rRNA from 1 species
UACGAAGGGGGCUAGCGUUGCUCGGAAUCACUAGGCGUAAAGCGCGCGCAGGCGGCUAUCCAAGUCAGUGGUGAAAGCCCGGAGCUCAACUCCGGAACUGCCAUUGAAACUGUUUAGCUUGAGGAUGAGAGAGGUGAGUGGAAUUCCCAGUGUAGAGGUGAAAUUCGUAGAUAUUGGGAAGAACACCGGUGGCGAAGGCGGCUCACUGGCUCAUUACUGACGCUCAGGCGCGAUAGCGUGGGGAUCAAACAGG